GUUUGCCUAGGCUAUGCACUUAUGGGGCCAAAUGCACUUUUUAUUCUUAGAUUUGACCACCACAGAGAAUUAACAAAUAGAUCAACCUAACAAAGAUAUACUUGGUGUUCUUGUCUCUCGCCUUGGAAGUAUGCUGACAAUCUCCAGCGUGUUGUUUCUACUGGAUGCCUCUAGUUCCUCCCUAGAUGCCACUGUUCUCUCUUGAAGUCACUCCAAUCAAGCUUUCCUCUGUUCACUCUACAGAAACUGUUCUUAUCACAGACACCAGUGACUUCUCCAGGUGAGCUGUAAACGUUUCUAAACACUGUAGCUCAUUUCCUUAAUUUGAGUGAGUACCAAGAAGAGGAACACUAUGUUUCCUGCAGUCGCCGACAUCGAAUUGCCUGGAACAUUCGGUUAUGGACAACACUGAGAAUCUGGUAAAAGCUAUGUUCUUCCCUGAAAAAAUGCAAAGUUUACAAUGCUGAGGGAUCGUGGACCUGAACACCUCAGGUGGUAGAAACCCUCUUUUGUGGAAACAGAUGUUGGUAUUCUCAUCUAAAAUGGGAGGAAAAGAGAAGAUUAAAAAACAAAUUAGAUAUCAUGUAGUGACUGCAAGUAAGCUCAAAAAAAAAAAAAAAAAAAGAUGAUAAGAGUGUAUCAAAGAGACACAAAGCCAACAGAAAGGUCUCCCAAGAGCCAAAUUUGAAUGAUUUGAGCAAUAAAAUAAAGUCAUAUUGGAUUAUAUCCCAAAGUAUAAAAUAAAAAUCUGUGAGUCCAUAAAGACAUGCACAAAUGAUUAAAUAAAUAAACAAAUGGAAGAGAACAGACAAUUCUCCCAUGCAGAAUUCCAAAUAACUGUAAUUCCAAAUAGACCCUUUAUUUUCAGGGUAGAAGAGAGCUCUGCAUUUCUCAGUGUGAGCUGUGCAUGAUGACUUCCUUCCAAAGAGUACAUAUAGGAAGGGGGAAAAGAGUUACUUUACAGCAGAGAAACCUGACAAAUACUAUCUCAACCAGAGGAUCAAGGUUAACCUCUACAGUGAAAAGUCAUGUCAACUUUAUGUACCCUUAAUAAAAUGUGAUGAGAAUGGCAAUGAAUCCUGUGGUCUUCCCCCACCAAAACACAUAACUCCAAUCCAACCAUGAGAAAAAUAUCAGACAAAUGGCAGUAAAGUGACAUUUUAUAAAAUACUUGACUAGGACUCCUCAAAACCAUCAUGGUCAUGUAAAAAAAGGAAGGUCUUAGAAACUGUCACAGCCAACAGGAGCCUAAGGACACAUAAAGACUACAUUUACUAUGCUGAAUGGGAUCCUGGAACAGAAAAAGAACAUUGGGUAAAAACCAAGGAAGUCUGAAUAAAGC